UGAUGAAACUCUUCUCUCUAUUUUAAAGUCCUAAUUGUGCGGCAAUUUCUUUCCUCCUGUUUUUGUGUAGGAGUUGGCCUAUGAUGUUUCGGUUGAUGUGCUUUCAGAAGCUGUCAGUGACCAAGUGGGCUGGGAGUUGGGACAUUCGAUGGGGCUCUGAUGUGCCUCUCAGCUCACUUCUCCCUGUGCCGGCAUCAGUGAGGACCUGUGGGCACAACUACAGGUUCAGGCUAUUGCAGCUAAGAGAGCUGUAGAAUCAUUGUUAUUGAGCUAUGGUUGCACGUCAAGCAUGCGUUUCUUUCCAUUUUCUCAUAACUAGAUGUGCACAGCACAUCCAUUCCAUCUCAAAACGGAGCAGAAUCAAGUAGAUUCUUGCACGGCUCUUGCCAACAAGUCGCACUAUUACAAGGCCUCUAUUACCCGAAAGCAGCUCGCUUUUAAUACCCUCGCUAGUACUCAGCGACUGAAAGCUUAUCUUCGUAUCAGAGAAUAUGGAGGCAACCCCUCACACGUACUGCUUCGAAGAUCCAACUUUUGUCAAUGAAGUUCCAUAGAAUUCAUUACUGGAAAGUGCAUUUAAACCAAAGCCCAUUAUAGCACUAGCUAUGCAGUAGUUGGACUCC